rnacentral:rRNA from 1 species
AUUGAACGCUGGCGGCAUGCCUUACACAUGCAAGUCGAACGGCAGCACGGGUGCUUGCCCCUGGUGGCGAGUGGCGAACGGGUGAGUAAUACAUCGGAACAUGUCCUGUAGUGGGGGAUAGCCCGGCGAAAGCCGGAUUAAUACCGCAUACGAUCUACGGAUGAAAGCGGGGGACCUUCGGGCCUCGCGCUAUCGGGUUGGCCGAUGGCUGAUUAGCUCGUUGGUGGGGUAAAGGCCUACCAAGGCGACGAUCAGUAGCUGGUCGGAGAGGACGACCAGCCACACUGGGACUGAGACACGGCCCAGACUCCUACGGGAGGCAGCAGUGGGGAAUUUGGGACAAUGGGCGAAAGCCUGAUCCAGCAAUGCCGCGUGUGUGAAGAAGGCCUUCGGGUUGUAAAGCACGUUUGUCCGGAAAGAAAUCCUUGGCCCUAAUACGGUCGGGGGAUGACGGUACCGGAAGAAUAAGCACCGGCUAACUACGUG